rnacentral:lncRNA from 1 species
CAUAACUAAACUAACUGUUUUACCUUUAUUUUAUUUAAUGAAUUAAUUAUGUACCAGAAUAAAUGCUUUAAAUUAAGAAAGAGGGAAUUUUUUUUUUUUUUUAAGAUUUUACGGUAAAUUCUCUCUUAAAUUCUAUAGUUAGAAAACAUAAAGUUUCAUCUUAUCUUUCUGAGAAAUUACACAGCAAAACAGGUCUGCAAACUCCGCUUUUCUUGGUCAUCAUUACAUACAAGUAGAUAGCUCUUAGGGCUUCUUUUUUUUGAUUGAUCGGUGUUCCAACACUGUGGCAUUUCCCCAUUAACGGUAAUAUAUUGGACUAAUUUCCCCCGGCUACCAAAUUACUCCGUCGGGAGAGAAAAUAUACAUGUAUAUUAAAAAAAAAAAAACGGCCUUGUUAACCCCAGGCUCCUGAAAAAUUCUCUUUUUAGCCGGGCACAAAAAAGGUAAUGUUCUUCAUUAGUUUUUUACAAUAGGCGUACAAGUUAAUCUUUAUUUGGGGGAUCGUCGUCAGCCGACCAACUACGCCUUCUCUCUUUGUCGAGAAGGAAUGAAAAAAAAAAAGAAGCCUAUCGGGCCUAUGGCACACAGAAUGGGUGCCAUGACAGUGUUAUUAAAGCCGAUCAUAACAAUUAUGGUAAGGAUACGCCCCGAACUACCUAUUUCGUCGAUUAAGCCAGACAACCAUGUUAUCUAUUCUCGCAUACAACCACACCCUAUAGUAGGUAUAAUCGACCCACCAAACGGGGAUGGACCGAGCGAAAAAAAAAAAAAAAAUACGCUCAUCCUCACAGGAUGAGAGAGAGCUCAAUUCUAAUGAGUAAAUUAUCAACAAGAUUCAUGUAUAUUUAUAUCGCAUUAUAUGAAAAUUUUAUAAUAAACUAUUGGAAUCUCUCUCUAAUGUGUACACGUGUGUGUGUGUGUGUGUGUGUGUGUAUAUAUAUAUAUGUAUAUAGUUUAUCA